rnacentral:rRNA from 1 species
AGUGUAGAUUCAGAGUUUGAUCCUGGCUCAGAUUGAACGCUGGCGGCAUGCCUUACACAUGCAAGUCGAACGGCAGCAUGAUCUAGCUUGCUAGAUUGAUGGCGAGUGGCGAACGGGUGAGUAAUACAUCGGAACGUGCCCUGUAGUGGGGGAUAACUAGUCGAAAGAUUAGCUAAUACCGCAUACGACCUGAGGGUGAAAGUGGGGGACCGCAAGGCCUCAUGCUAUAGGAGCGGCCGAUGUCUGAUUAGCUAGUUGGUGAGGUAAAGGCUCACCAAGGCGACGAUCAGUAGCUGGUCUGAGAGGACGAUCAGCCACACUGGGACUGAGACACGGCCCAG